rnacentral:rRNA from 1 species
CGCGGCCUAUCAGCUUGUUGGUGGGGUGAUGGCCUACCAAGGCGACGACGGGUAGCCGGCCUGAGAGGGCGACCGGCCACACUGGGACUGAGACACGGCCCAGACUCCUACGGGAGGCAGCAGUGGGGAAUAUUGCACAAUGGGCGCAAGCCUGAUGCAGCGACGCCGCGUGAGGGAUGACGGCCUUCGGGUUGUAAACCUCUUUCAGCAGGGAAGAAGCGCAAGUGACGGUACCUGCAGAAGAAGCGCCGGCUAACUACGUGCCAGCAGCCGCGGUAAUACGUAGGGCGCAAGCGUUGUCCGGAAUUAUUGGGCGUAAAGAGCUCGUAGGCGGUUUGUCGCGUCUGCUGUGAAAACCUAAGGCUCAACCUUGGGCUUGCAGUGGGUACGGGCAGACUAGAGUGCGGUAGGGGUGACUGGAAUUCCUGGUGUAGCGGUGGAAUGCGCAGAUAUCAGGAGGAACACCGAUGGCGAAGGCAGGUCACUGGGCCGCAACUGACGCUGAGGAGCGAAAGCAUGGGGAGCGAACAGGAUUAGAUACCCUGGUAGUCCAUGCCGUAAACGUUGGGCACUAGGUGUGGGGCUCAUUCCACGAGUUCCGUGCCGCAGCAAACGCAUUAAGUGCCCCGCCUGGGGAGUACGG